rnacentral:rRNA from 1 species
UACGUAGGGGGCAAGCGUUGUCCGGAUUUAUUGGGCGUAAAGAGCGUGUAGGCGGCCAGACAGGUCCGUUGUGAAAACUCGAGGCUCAACCUCGAGACGCCGAUGGAAACCGUUUGGCUAGAGUCCGGAAGAGGAGAGUGGAAUUCCUGGUGUAGCGGUGAAAUGCGUAGAGAUCGGGAGGAACACCAGUGGCGAAGGCGGCUACCUGGACCAGCACUGACACUGAGGCACGAAAGCGUGGGGAGCAAACAGG